rnacentral:rRNA from 1 species
UACGUAGGCAGCAAGCGUUGUUCGGAGUUACUGGGCGUAAAGUGUGCGCAGGCGGCUUCGCAAGUCGAGUGUGAAAAUCCCCGAGCUUAACUUGGGAAUUGCGCUCGAAACUACGGAGCUGGAGUGUGGCAGAGGAAGGUGGAAUUCCACGUGUAGCGGUGAAAAUGCGUAGAGAUGUGGAGGAACACCGAUGGCGAAGGCAGCCUUCUGGGCCAACACUGACGCUCAUGCACGAAAGCGUGGGGAGCAAACAGG